CUCCAUUCUAUAUUUCUAUUCCUUGCCUCUAGCUCUUCUUUCUCAUCUCUUUCUAUCAUUUCUUAGAGGUUCCCCGAAUCCAAAAGGGUGUUGCUUUCGUUAGUAACUUUCUAAAGAGUUUCUUCCUCGGACGCUCCGAAUGGCUCCUGUCUCAGUGGCAUCUUCGGACUCCAUUAAACCUCGAGAUGUUUGUAUUGUUGGCGUUGCACGUACACCGAUGGGCGGCUUACUUGGUAGUACUCUUUCAUCGUUGUCAGCUACCAAGCUUGGCUCUAUAGCUAUUGAAUGUGCUCUUAAGAGGGCAAAUGUUGAUCCUUCACUUGUGCAAUAGGUUUUCUUCGGGAAUAUUGUCCUAAGCGCAAAUUUUGGCCAAACUCCUGCUAGACAGGCUGCUUUGGGUGCAGGCAUUCCUACUUCUGUGAUCUGCACCACUAUUAACAAAGUUUGUUCGUCGGGGAUGAAAGCAACAAUGCUUGCAGCACAAUCUAUCUAUCCAGUUGGGUUUGAAUGAUGUUGUUGUGGCUGGUGGAAUGGAAAGCAUGUCUAAUGCGCCUAAGUAUCUAGCUGAAGCAAGGUCAGCCUUUGUGCCAUUAAUUGUUUACUAAAUAGUUUACCUCGUGUUGCUCUUCUGCUUAUACUUACUCAUGGACUUGGAGGUUGAAGGUGGCCGUGCUUAUGAAAAUUGAGGAGGCCUCUUAAGUGUUAUAUAUGAUAGGAUCUUUCUCCUUGAAGCGUGUAGAUAUGUAUGAUAUAUACACAAUCUUGAAGGAUAUGCUAAUUUUGUGGGAUGCCCAUGACAACGUUUGUCUUCAGUCAACCGGCCUUUUGUCCAAGAAUGAAACAUAAAAGCAAAAUUUUACUUUUGACUUGAACAAUUUGAUGAACCUUUCUAGCUAUAUAUGAUAUGUUUAUUUAACGGCCA